AUAGUUCUCUUCUAAAAUUUUAUUUUAAAAAUAAGCCUGUUAAAAUUUUAUUUGUAGAUAUAGUCUUAUAAAAGCGGUGAAUCACCGCUUUUAAAAGCGGUGAACCAUUCACCGCUUUUUUUCACCGCUUUUUUUUCUUUUUCUUUCUUUUUAUUAUAAUUCUACGAUGGUAAAAGCGGUGAAUGAUUCACCGCUUUUAUUAUUUUUCUACUGCUAAAUAGAAGUUAUGAAUGCGGUAAAUCAUUCACCGCAUUUAAAGGUCUAUUUUUAUAAUUAUUUUUUAAAAAAAAUUAUUUUUAUAAUUAUAAAAAUUGAUAGGAUUAGUUAUAAAAAAUAUUCCUUGAAAAAUAUUAUAAUUUAAAGGCCUUUUUGCAUAAAAAAUCCACUUAUUUUGGGCUUUUGCAAAAUCGGGUCACCUUUUUCGUUUUUGCAGAUUCGGUCCGCUUUUUCAGCAAACUGACCAAAAUACCUUAUUACUUUUUCUCUUUCCUCUUUCUCUCUCCUCUUCGUUCUCUCG
rnacentral:lncRNA from 1 species